UCGAGCAGUUGGCCUACAGAAGUUAAUAGCUGGGUUCACAUAGCACACCCAAGGUGUCCUGAACAAUCUCUUUAGCAUUUGUCUUUGCUGGUCUGCUGUAGCCAGGUCUAUAUCUCUUUUGGAACACAUUUGUCUUAAAGGGGUUGCUGUAGCCAGGUCUAUAUCUCUUUUGGAACACAUUUGUCUUAAAGGGGCUGCUGUAGCCAGGUCUAUAUCUCUUUUGGAACACAUUUGUCUUAAAGGGGUUGCUGUAGCCAGGUCUAUAUCUCUUUUUUAUUUAUUUUAUUUGUCUUAAAGGGGCAGCAUUCUAUUUUGAGAUGUAUAAAAAAACAUUGUCAAAAUGACAUACUUUAGAAUAUAAUUAAUUAGAUUAAUACAAUGCAAUCCUAAAUAAUUAGUGUAAUGACUUGAAUUGCUCAAUUAUAUUAAACCAUUUUUAAAAAAACAUAUCAUACUAACCAAAUAUGCAUAACCAAGAGUGUGCCAGGCUGUCAUCAUGGCAAAGGGUGGCCACUUUGAAGAAUCGAUUGAUUGAUUUUUUUAAA
ensembl:lncRNA